rnacentral:rRNA from 1 species
UUAAGCGACUAAGCGUACACGGUGGAUGCCCUGGCAGUCAGAGGCGAUGAAGGACGUGCUAAUCUGCGAUAAGCGUCGGUAAGGUGAUAUGAACCGUUAUAACCGGCGAUUUCCGAAUGGGGAAACCCAGUGUGAUUCGUCACACUAUCAUUAACUGAAUCCAUAGGUUAAUGAGGCGAACCGGGGGAACUGAAACAUCUAAGUACCCCGAGGAAAAGAAAUCAACCGAGAUUCCCCCAGUAGCGGCGAGCGAACGGGGAGCAGCCCAGAGCCUGAAUCAGUGUGUGUGUUAGUGGAAGCGUCUGGAAAGGCGCGCGAUACAGGGUGACAGCCCCGUACACAAAAAUGCACAUACUGUGAGCUCGAUGAGUAGGGCGGGACACGUGGUAUCCUGUCUGAAUAUGGGGGGACCAUCCUCCAAGGCUAAAUACUCCUGACUGACCGAUAGUGAACCAGUACCGUGAGGGAAAGGCGAAAAGAACCCCGGCGAGGGGAGUGAAAAAGAACCUGAAACCGUGUACGUACAAGCAGUGGGAGCCUGUUUUAUUGUGUGACUGCGUACCUUUUGUAUAAUGGGUCAGCGACUUAUAUUCUGUAGCAAGGUUAACCGAAUAGGGGAGCCGUAAGGGAAACCGAGUCUUAACCGGGCGUUAAGUUGCAGGGUACUAGACCCGAAACCCGGUGAAUCUAGCCAUGGGCAGGUUGAAGGUUGGGUAACACUAACUGGAGGACCGAACCGACUAAUGUUGAAAAAUUAGCGGAUGACUUGUGGCUGGGGGUGAAAGGCCAAUCAAACCGGGAGAUAGCUGGUUCUCCCCGAAAGCUAUUUAGGUAGCGCCUCGUGAAUUCAUCUCCGGGGGUAGAGCACUGUUUCGGCAAGGGGGUCAUCCCGACUUACCAACCCGAUGCAAACUGCGAAUACCGGAGAAUGUUAUCACGGGAGACACACGGCGGGUGCUAACGUCCGUCGUGAAGAGGGAAACAACCCAGACCGCCAGCUAAGGUCCCAAAGUCAUGGUUAAGUGGGAAACGAUGUGGGAAGGCCCAGACAGCCAGGAUGUUGGCUUAGAAGCAGCCAUCAUUUAAAGAAAGCGUAAUAGCUCACUGGUCGAGUCGGCCUGCGCGGAAGAUGUAACGGGGCUAAACCAUGCACCGAAGCUGCGGCAGCGACACUGUGUGUUGUUGGGUAGGGGAGCGUUCUGUAAGCCUGUGAAGGUGUGCUGUGAGGUAUGCUGGAGGUAUCAGAAGUGCGAAUGCUGACAUAAGUAACGAUAAAGCGGGUGAAAAGCCCGCUCGCCGGAAGACCAAGGGUUCCUGUCCAACGUUAAUCGGGGCAGGGUGAGUCGACCCCUAAGGCGAGGCCGAAAGGCGUAGUCGAUGGGAAACAGGUUAAUAUUCCUGUACUUGGUGUUACUGCGAAGGGGGGACGGAGAAGGCUAUGUUGGCCGGGCGACGGUUGUCCCGGUUUAAGCGUGUAGGCUGGUUUUCCAGGCAAAUCCGGAAAAUCAAGGCUGAGGCGUGAUGACGAGGCACUACGGUGCUGAAGCAACAAAUGCCCUGCUUCCAGGAAAAGCCUCUAAGCAUCAGGUAACAUCAAAUCGUACCCCAAACCGACACAGGUGGUCAGGUAGAGAAUACCAAGGCGCUUGAGAGAACUCGGGUGAAGGAACUAGGCAAAAUGGUGCCGUAACUUCGGGAGAAGGCACGCUGAUAUGUAGGUGAAGUCCCUCGCGGAUGGAGCUGAAAUCAGUCGAAGAUACCAGCUGGCUGCAACUGUUUAUUAAAAACACAGCACUGUGCAAACACGAAAGUGGACGUAUACGGUGUGACGCCUGCCCGGUGCCGGAAGGUUAAUUGAUGGGGUCAGCGCAAGCGAAGCUCUUGAUCGAAGCCCCGGUAAACGGCGGCCGUAACUAUAACGGUCCUAAGGUAGCGAAAUUCCUUGUCGGGUAAGUUCCGACCUGCACGAAUGGCGUAAUGAUGGCCAGGCUGUCUCCACCCGAGACUCAGUGAAAUUGAACUCGCUGUGAAGAUGCAGUGUACCCGCGGCAAGACGGAAAGACCCCGUGAACCUUUACUAUAGCUUGACACUGAACAUUGAGCCUUGAUGUGUAGGAUAGGUGGGAGGCUUUGAAGUGUGGACGCCAGUCUGCAUGGAGCCGACCUUGAAAUACCACCCUUUAAUGUUUGAUGUUCUAACGUGGACCCGUGAUCCGGGUUGCGGACAGUGUCUGGUGGGUAGUUUGACUGGGGCGGUCUCCUCCUAAAGAGUAACGGAGGAGCACGAAGGUUGGCUAAUCCUGGUCGGACAUCAGGAGGUUAGUGCAAUGGCAUAAGCCAGCUUGACUGCGAGCGUGACGGCGCGAGCAGGUGCGAAAGCAGGUCAUAGUGAUCCGGUGGUUCUGAAUGGAAGGGCCAUCGCUCAACGGAUAAAAGGUACUCCGGGGAUAACAGGCUGAUACCGCCCAAGAGUUCAUAUCGACGGCGGUGUUUGGCACCUCGAUGUCGGCUCAUCACAUCCUGGGGCUGAAGUAGGUCCCAAGGGUAUGGCUGUUCGCCAUUUAAAGUGGUACGCGAGCUGGGUUUAGAACGUCGUGAGACAGUUCGGUCCCUAUCUGCCGUGGGCGCUGGAGAACUGAGGGGGGCUGCUCCUAGUACGAGAGGACCGGAGUGGACGCAUCACUGGUGUUCGGGUUGUCAUGCCAAUGGCACUGCCCGGUAGCUAAAUGCGGAAGAGAUAAGUGCUGAAAGCAUCUAAGCACGAAACUUGCCCCGAGAUGAGUUCUCCCUGACCCUUUAAGGGUCCUGAAGGAACGUUGAAGACGACGACGUUGAUAGGCCGGGUGUGUAAGCGCAGCGAUGCGUUGAGCUAACCGGUACUAAUGAACCGUGAGGCUUAACCUU